UACGUAGGGUGCAAGCGUUAAUCGGAAUUACUGGGCGUAAAGCGUGCGCAGGCGGUGAUGUAAGACAGGUGUGAAAUCCCCGGGCUAACCUGGGAACUGCAUUUGUGACUGCAUCGCUGGAGUGCGGCAGAGGGGGAUGGAAUUCCGCGUGUAGCAGUGAAAUGCGUAGAUAUGCGGAGGAACACCGAUGGCGAAGGCAAUCCCCUGGGCCUGCACUGACGCUCAUGCACGAAAGCGUGGGGAGCAA
rnacentral:rRNA from 1 species